GAUGAACGCUGGCGGCGUGCCUAAUACAUACAAGUCGAGCGAACAGACGAGGAGCUUGCUCCUCUGACGUUAGCGGCGGACGGGUGAGUAACACGUGGAUAACCCACCUAUAAGACUGGGAUAACUUCGGGAAACCGGAGCUAACACCGGAUAAUAUAUUGAUCCGCAGGGUUCAAUAGAGAGUGACGGCUUUGCUGUCACUUAUAGAUGCAUCUGCGCCGCAUUAGCUAGUUGGUAAGGUAACGGCUUACGAAGGCAACGAUGCGUAGCCGACCUGAGAGGGUGGUCGGCCGCCCUGGAACUGAGACACGGUCCAGACUCCUACGGGAGGCAGCAGUAGGGAACGUUACGCAGUGGUCGGGAGCCUGACGGAGCGACGCCGCGUGAGAGAUGAAGGUCUUCGGUUCGUAAAACUCUGUUAUGGGGGGAGAACAGAUGUGGAAGUAACUAUGCACGUCUUGACGGUACCUAAUCAGAAAGCCACGGCUAACUACGUG
rnacentral:rRNA from 1 species